rnacentral:rRNA from 1 species
GUGGGGAAUAUUGGACAAUGGGCGCAAGCCUGAUCCAGCCAUUCCGCGUGCAGGAUGAAGGCCUUCGGGUUGUAAACUGCUUUUGUACGGAACGAAAAGCCUCUGGUUAAUACCCGGGGGUCAUGACGGUUCCGUAAGAAUAAGCACCGGCUAACUACGUGCCAGCAGCCGCGGUAAUACGUAGGGUGCGAGCGUUAAUCGGAAUUACUGGGCGUAAAGCGUGCGCAGGCGGUGAUGUAAGACAGGUGUGAAAUCCCCGGGCUCAACAUGGGAACUGCAUCUGUGACUGCAUUGCUGGGGUGUGGCAGAGGGGGAUGGAAUUCCGCGUGUAGCAGUGAAAUGCGUAGAUAUGCGGAGGAACACCGAUGGCGAAGGCAAUCCCCUGGGCCUGCACUGACGCUCAUGCACGAAAGCGUGGGGAGCAAACAGGAUUAGAUACCCGGGUAGUCC